CCUACGGGAGGCAGCAGUGAGGAAUAUUGGUCAAUGGGCGCAAGCCUGAACCAGCCAAGUCGCGUGCAGGAAGACGGUCCUAUGGGUUGUAAACUUCUUUUAUAGGGGAAUAAAGGGCGCCACGCGUGGGGUUUUGCAUGUACCCUAUGAAUAAGCAUCGGCUAACUCCGUGCCAGCAGCCGCGGUAAUACGGAAGGUGCGGGCGUUAUCCGGAUUUAUUGGGUUUAAAGGGGGCGGAGGCCGUAUGUCAAGUGUGCGGUGAAAUUUACGGGCUCAACCCUCUCGUUGCAGUUGAAACUGGUUUGCUUGAGUGAGUGAGAAGCAGGCGGAAUGCGUGGUGUAGCGGUGAAAUGCAUAGAUAUCACGAAGAACGCCGAUUGCGAAGGCAGCUUACUGGAGCUGAACUGACGCUGAUGCACGAAAGCGUGGGUAUCGAACAGGAUUAGAUACCCGAGUAGUC
rnacentral:rRNA from 1 species